rnacentral:rRNA from 1 species
UACGGAGGGUGCGCGCGUUGUCCGGAAUCACUGGGCGUAAAGGGCGCGUAGGCGGCGCGGGUAGUCAACGGUGAAAGCUUGGGGCUCAACCCCGAGUCGGCCGUCGAUACUCCCGUGCUUGAGCACUGUAGAGGCAGGUGGAAUUCCGGGUAUAGCGGUGAAAUGCGCAGAUAUCAGGAAGAACACCCGUGGCGAAGGCGGCUUUCUGGGACGGUACUGACGCUGAGACGCGAAAGCGUGGGGAGCGAACAGG